GGGGGAUAUGAUGGUCCUUCCUUCACCCAUAAAUGCCACAGCAAGAUAAAAAUGUUUUCGUCCGAUUACAUAUAAAAUGUUACUGAAUAUAGAUAGUGUUUUAAUAUAAAUAAAAUGGGAAUAGAAAGAGGUUUUGUUUUUGUAGAUCGUUCAAAUGUGGAUGCAGCACGUAAACAAUAGGUGGCGCUAAUACAUUUCACAUUACGAGGAUAUCAACCGGUUUUUCCCCCAAAGGAUCAUGGGAACUUCCGCUUCGCACAAAUAGCUGCGUUCAGUCCACGUCUACUCUUCAAUCCAUUUUGUAAGUCUUCGUGGAUGGACUGUUUGCACUACGCAAGCCAGUUUUUGUUAAAGUAAUUUUUGUAAUCGUAAAACUUUUGACUUUAAAUCCUCUGGAAGCCUUAUGUUUCACUCAUUCAGAUAAGUUACUUUACAUUUGUGAAUUUGCGAGCUGAUAAACGUUCGCUGUCUGACUUUUUAUACGAACUACUUUGGACAUUUACCUUUUUGUGCGUGAAAUGUGCUUGGAAAUGGAUACCAAAGUGGAAUGGGAAGUACUCAAACCGUGUUACUCCAGAAGAUCUGGCAAACUUUCAAAGUGCAGGCUGAGGAAAAUUCUCAAUUUAAGUUCCCGACAAGAAGGCCUGAAAAUGUGGCGCGCCAACAUUGUCAAAGCCACUCUCAAGAAAUACAUUCGCUGCGAGCAGAAAAGGAGGUUAGUUGCUAAACUGGUCAAGCAAGAACAAACUUUGUCCGAAAACUGCGAAAACAUUAUGCAUGAUGGGACGGAGACUGUCGACGGAAAUACACGGUCAAUAUGCUCAAUGGCACCUAAGAACACGACACAGUAUCUCAUGGAUAUCGUAUACGACGACAUGCUAAACGACACCAGUUCCAGCCAGAAGUUGAGCCCCGAUUCGCUCGAGAUCUGCGUGCCAAGUAAAUCUCUUUCACGCAUGACCACGUGUGACUCAUUGGACUGUGGGUAUGAAAAUUCUCUUGAAUUCCAACAGAGGGACUUCGAAGAAAUAUACCUCCAUCUUGGGUCUUGUUGAUCUGGAGUAAACCGGUUCUGGUUUGGCCGGGUUUUUCUGACCGAAGACCAAAGUAUUGACUUUAAAACCACAAACUAAGCGACGCAACGGACGCCGCCCAUCAGUAGGGGGCGCUCUCGGUCGCAGCGUCGCUUCCUGUGGUGGCCAGACUACCUAUGCCUCCACUAAGGUAUCACAGGUAAACCUGAUUCUCCUACAGGUAUAUGUGGCCGGUAGCACUUGAGUUCACCAGUAAGCUUCCGGUUUGCAAUUUCACUGCGUUUCUAUGACUUUGCUACAAGUAAAGUAUCUUGAACGUGGAGUAAUUGCUGCCGGCGUAGUUUACGCAGUGCCCAGAUAUGUUCAAAGCUGUCAGUGCUGCAUUUACUGUUGUGCAAGCCUUUUUCAGAUCAGGUUCUUCCUCCUACCUGCCUGCAAUCAGCGUGGCUGUUGCCAGAACGAUGGACUCGUGCGGAUGACCAUGGAAGUAAGGUGACAUACGAUUUUGUUACCAAAAGCGUCAGUUUUAGCAGUUCGUUGGUUACCGGAAGACGCGUGUUAGUCAUUGCAAAGUAGACAUACACGGUUUAAACAAACCAGGGUGCAUUUAAACAUGAACUGAGUGUCAUUGUCUGGACAUUUGAGGAAGCCUUUUGUAUUAAAUGCUCUUGUAAAUUAAACAAUCAUGUGAUCUAACUGGUUUAAGUUUUCUGUUCUUGAUGUUAUUGGUAGUAGUGACUGUAUGCCGACCACUUGAGUUUGUAGUAUUCGCUUUUCAAAAAUGUGGCGCAUUUGG
ensembl:lncRNA